CCCUGAACACUGCAGCUCAUCACUGAGAGGCUCGGGAACCAGAGGCAGGAACCGCAGCUCAGUCAGUGGGGAGACAAGUUGAACACUGAAGCCACUUCACUGAGAGGUUCGGGAACCAAAGGCAGGAACAUCUGCUCAGUCAGCGGGGAGACAAGAAGCCCAGAGCACUGAAGCACAUCACUGAGAGGCUCGGGAACCAGAGGCAGGAACCGGAGCUCAGUCAGUGGGGAGACAAGUCGGACUGAAACAGCGACCACAUCUGGUGUUGCCCAACUACGUUGUGAAUCGGUUCCACCACUUUGGGAGAUUGGAGUGAGAUGGCCUCCACGGAGACUGAACCAAAUGCCAGUGC